UACAGAGGUCUCAAGCGUUGUUCGGAUUCAUUGGGCGUAAAGGGUGCGUAGGCGGUGCGGAAAGUUGGGUGUGAAAUCCCUCGGCUCAACCGAGGAACUGCGCCCAAAACUACCGUACUUGAGGAAGAUAGAGGUGAGCGGAACUCACGGUGGGGCGGUGAAAUGCGCAGAUAUCAGGAGGAACACCCGUGGCGAAAGCGGCUCUCUGGGACGGUACUGACGCUGAGACGCGAAAGCGUGGGGAGCAAACAGG
rnacentral:rRNA from 1 species